rnacentral:rRNA from 1 species
UGGGGAAUAUUGCACAAUGGGCGCAAGCCUGAUGCAGCCAUGCCGCGUGUAUGAAGAAGGCCUUCGGGUUGUAAAGUACUUUCAGUCGGGAGGAAGGUGUCAAGGUUAAUAACCUUGGCAAUUGACGUUACCGACAGAAGAAGCACCGGCUAACUCCGUGCCAGCAGCCGCGGUAAUACGGAGGGUGCAAGCGUUAAUCGGAAUUACUGGGCGUAAAGCGCACGCAGGCGGUUGAUUGAGUCAGAUGUGAAAUCCCCGGGCUUAACCCGGGAAUUGCAUCUGAUACUGGCAAGCUUGAGUCUCGUAGAGGGGGGUAGAAUUCCAGGUGUAGCGGUGAAAUGCGUAGAGAUCUGGAGGAAUACCGGUGGCGAAGGCGGCCCCCUGGACGAAGACUGACGCUCAGGUGCGAAAGCGUGGGGAGCAAACAGG